rnacentral:rRNA from 1 species
CCUACGGGAGGCAGCAGUGGGGAAUAUUGGACAAUGGGGGGAACCCUGAUCCAGCCAUGCCGCGUGUGUGAAGAAGGCCCUCGGGUUGUAAAGCACUUUCAGUGAGGAAGAACGCCUGGUGGUUAAUACCCAUCAGGAAAGACAUCACUCACAGAAGAAGCACCGGCUAACUCCGUGCCAGCAGCCGCGGUAAUACGGAGGGUGCGAGCGUUAAUCGGAAUUACUGGGCGUAAAGCGCGCGUAGGUGGCCUGAUAAGCCGGUUGUGAAAGCCCCGGGCUCAACCUGGGAACGGCAUCCGGAACUGUCAAGCUAGAGUGCAGGAGAGGAAGGUAGAAUUCCCGGUGUAGCGGUGAAAUGCGUAGAGAUCGGGAGGAAUACCAGUGGCGAAGGCGGCCUUCUGGACUGACACUGACACUGAGGUGCGAAAGCGUGGGUAGCAAACAGGAUUAGAUACCCGUGUAGUC